rnacentral:rRNA from 1 species
GAUGAAUGCUGGCGGCGUGCCUAACACAUGCAAGUCGAGCGGCAGCGAGGGGUGCUUGCACCCUGUCGGCGAGCGGCGAACGGCUGAGUAACGCGUAGGAAUUUGCCCCAAAGUGAGGAAUAACUGCCCGAAAGGGUAGCUAAUGCCGCAUAUGGUCUUCGGAUUAAAGGAUUUAUCCGCUUUGGGAGAAGCCUGCGUUGGAUUAGGUUGUUGGUAGGGUAAUGGCCUACCAAGCCGACGAUCCAUAGCUGGUCUGAGGGGAUGAUCAGCCAGACUGGAACUGAGACACGGUCCAGACUCCUACGGGAGGCAGCAGUGAGGAAUCUUCCACAAUGGGCGAAAGCCUGAUGGAGCAACGCCGCGUGAAGGAUGAAGGCCUUCGGGUUGUAAACUUCUUUUAUGAGUCAAGAAUAUGACGGUAACUCAUGAAUAAGCACCGGCUAACUACGUG